CAUUUUUGCAUACUCGUUUAUCAGUCAUUGCAGGAAUCUAACUCAAAUUUAGGUCUUGAGUGGUGAAAGUGCUACUUGUUGAAGAGUAUGAUUAUUAUGGUAUCUAUCGUGACUUGUCGAUGAACUUUGUAAAUCAAAAUGGAGCCACAAGAACUGUUGAAAAUUUGGCUCAGGGUGCUUUUACUGGUAAGGGCUAUAAAUUUUUUUAUCUUCUUUCUGAAGCUUUAGAAUUUCAUUAUUUCAGUCAG